rnacentral:rRNA from 1 species
AGAGUUCGAUCCUGGCUCAGGAUGAACGCUGGCGGCGCGCCUAACACAUGCAAGUCGAACGGCACCCCUCUCCGGAGGGAAGCGAGUGGCGAACGGCUGAGUAACACGUGGAGAACCUGCCCCCUCCCCCGGGAUAGCCGCCCGAAAGGACGGGUAAUACCGGAUACCCCGGGGUGCCGCAUGGCACCCCGGCUAAAGCCCCGACGGGAGGGGAUGGCUCCGCGGCCCAUCAGGUAGACGGCGGGGUGACGGCCCACCGUGCCGACAACGGGUAGCCGGGUUGAGAGACCGACCGGCCAGAUUGGGACUGAGACACGGCCCAGACUCCUACGGGAGGCAGCAGUGGGGAAUCUUGCGCAAUGGGGGGAACCCUGACGCAGCGACGCCGCGUGCGGGACGGAGGCCUUCGGGUCGUAAACCGCUUUCAGCAGGGAAGAGUCAAGACUGUACCUGCAGAAGAAGCCCCGGCUAACUACGUGCCAGCAGCCGCGGUAAUACGUAGGGGGCGAGCGUUAUCCGGAUUCAUUGGGCGUAAAGCGCGCGUAGGCGGCCCGGCAGGCCGGGGGUCGAAGCGGGGGGCUCAACCCCCCGAAGCCCCCGGAACCUCCGCGGCUUGGGUCCGGUAGGGGAGGGUGGAACACCCGGUGUAGCGGUGGAAUGCGCAGAUAUCGGGUGGAACACCGGUGGCGAAGGCGGCCCUCUGGGCCGAGACCGACGCUGAGGCGCGAAAGCUGGGGGAGCGAACAGGAUUAGAUACCCUGGUAGUCCCAGCCGUAAACGAUGGACGCUAGGUGUGGGGGGACGAUCCCCCCGUGCCGCAGCCAACGCAUUAAGCGUCCCGCCUGGGGAGUACGGCCGCAAGGCUAAAACUCAAAGGAAUUGACGGGGGCC